UGUUAUAGUUUUUCAUUUUUCAUCAUUUUUAUUUCAGAAUGAUGAAAAUUUUAAUAUUAAAAUAUUAAUUUUUUAGUCUCAUUUUACCCGUGCUUGGCACGGGUCCGGAUACUAGUUUUGAUAUGAUAUACUUUUAAAAUUGAUGGUGCUUAUCAAUUAUUGUACAUAAUUUUAAUUACAAUUGGUAUACUUGUCAUAGUGGUUGAAAAUAUUGUCUUACAUUGAAUGGUUGCGGGUUUGAAUCAUAGUCAAGACAAAAUUGUAUUAUUUUUUUAAUAAAAAUUGCAAGAUAAAAUGGAGGGAAAAUAGGAAAAACAAAUUAGGGUUUAGGGUUUGCUUGUGUAUACAAGCUUAUAAUAUAAAAGAUGAUAACAUAUGGAACGAAUACAAUACAUCCAUCGUGUGUUUUUUCCUUGGACGUUGUUUCCUAACUGCGAAGUUGUAACCUCUUCCUC
rnacentral:lncRNA from 1 species